AUAAUAUAAAAAAAAAAAAAAUAGGAAGCUAUAUUUGAUGUGACGUGAGCUUUUAACAUCAAUGCUCGUUUGCGACGACUCUAGUUUCGCGCAACGGGUGGGUGAAAAGAAGGGAGGAGGUCAGGUUGUCAGUUGCACUAAAAAAUUAAAUAAAAAAUAUACGAGUAAGGUUGAAAUAGUUGUUUGAAACAAAGUUGCAAGAAACUAGAAAAAAAAAAGCUCUACUGAAAGAUGGGAAAAGGUGGUAAAGGAGGCGGUGGAGGUGGCGGUAAAGGGGAUAAUAAGAAAGGCGGAGCUGCGCCGGCGUCGAGCGGAAAAGGUGCCGAGGUCAAGGGCGAUUCAAAAGCCGGGCCAAAAAGCGGUAAAAAAGGUGGGAAAAAAUGACCUCAACUGUCUCAACAACAAUUAAAACAAUUAUUUAAAAUAUGUUAACAUCAAAAUGAACAAAAAAAAAAAAAUUAUUAUUACUAAAUGUAU